rnacentral:rRNA from 1 species
AUUGAACGCUGGCGGCAUGCUUUACACAUGCAAGUCGAACGGUAACAGGCCGCAAGGUGCUGACGAGUGGCGAACGGGUGAGUAAUGCAUCGGAACGUGCCCAGUCGUGGGGGAUAACUACUCGAAAGAGUAGCUAAUACCGCAUACGAUCUAUGGAUGAAAGCGGGGGACCGUAAGGCCUCGCGCGAUUGGAGCGGCCGAUGUCAGAUUAGGUAGUUGGUGGGGUAAAGGCUCACCAAGCCAACGAUCUGUAGCUGGUCUGAGAGGACGACCAGCCACACUGGGACUGAGACACGGCCCAGACUCCUACGGGAGGCAGCAGUGGGGAAUUUUGGACAAUGGGCGCAAGCCUGAUCCAGUAAUGCCGCGUGCAGGAAGAAGGCCUUCGGGUUGUAAACUGCUUUUGUACGGAACGAAACGGCUCUGGUUAAUACCCGGGGCUAAUGACGGUACCGUAAGAAUAAGCACCGGCUAACUACGUG